AUUGAACGCUGGCGGCAUGCCUUACACAUGCAAGUCGAACGGUAACAGGUCUUCGGAUGCUGACGAGUGGCGAACGGGUGAGUAAUACAUCGGAACGUGCCCGAUCGUGGGGGAUAACGGAGCGAAAGCUUUGCUAAUACCGCAUACGAUCUACGGAUGAAAGCAGGGGACCGCAAGGCCUUGCGCGGACGGAGCGGCCGAUGGCAGAUUAGGUAGUUGGUGGGAUAAAAGCUUACCAGGCCGACGAUCUGUAGCUGGUCUGAGAGGACGACCAGCCAAACUGGGACUGAGACACGGCCAAGCCUCCUACGGGAGGCAGCAGUGGGGAAUUUUGGACAAUGGGCGCAAGCCUGAUUCAGCCAUGCCGCGUGCAGGAUGAAGGCCUUCGGGUUGUAAACUGCUUUUGUACGGAACGAAAAGACUCUGGUUAAUACCUGGGGUCCAUGACGGUACCGUAAGAAUAAGCACCGGCUAACUACGUGCCAGCCGCCGCCGUAACAC
rnacentral:rRNA from 1 species